rnacentral:rRNA from 1 species
AUUGAACGCUGGCGGCAGGCCUAACACAUGCAAGUCGAGCGGAGCGGCGGACGGGUGAGUAAUGCCUAGGAAUAGGCCUGGUAGGGGGGGCUAACGUCCGGAACCGGGCGCUAAUACCGCAUACUAUCAGAUGAGCCUAGGUCGGAGUAGCGAGUUUGUGGGGUAAAGGCCUACCAAGGCGACGAUCCGGAACUGGUCUGAGAGGAUGAGCAGUCACACUGGAACGGAGACACGGUCCAGACUCCUACGGUAUGCAGCAGGGGGGAAUAUUGGGCAAGUGGCGAAAGCCGGCUCCAGCCAUGCCGCGUGUGUGAAGAAGGUCUUCGGAUUUUAAAGCUCUUUAAGUUGGGAGGCGUUACCAACAGAAUAAGCACCGGCUAACUACGUGCCAGCAGCCGCGGUAAUUC